UACGAAGGGUGCAAGCGUUACUCGGAAUUACUGGGCGUAAAACGUGCGUAGGUGGUUCGUUAAGUCUGAUGUGAAAGCCCUGGGCUCAACCUGGGAAUGGCAUUGGAAACUGGCGACCUAGAGUGCGGUAGAGGGUAGUGGAAUUCCCGGUGUAGCAGUGAAAUGCGUAGAGAUCGGGAGGAACAUCUGUGGCGAAGGCGACUGCCUGGACCAGCACUGACACUGAGGCACGAAAGCGUGGGGAGCAAACGGG
rnacentral:rRNA from 1 species